UACGUAGGGACCAAGCGUUGUUCGGAAUUACUGGGCGUAAAGGGCGCGUAGGCGGCCCGCUAAGUCGAACGUGAAAUCCCUGGGCUCAACCCCAGGAACUGCGUCCGAUACUGGCAGGCUUGAAUCCGGGAGAGGGAUGCGGAAUUCCAGGUGUAGCGGUGAAAUGCGUAGAUAUCGGGAGGAACACCAGUGGCGAAGGCGGCUAUCUGGGCUGGCACUGACGCUGAGGCGCGAAGGCUAGGGGAGCAAACAGG
rnacentral:rRNA from 1 species